GACUUGUGCUUGCUCUUCUUCUCUUCAACCUCAGCCCGAAUCUCGCCGAUGACUUCUUUUGUGUAGUCUAAUUCCUUCUCCAGAUCAACCGUCGCAGCAAUCUCUUCAUUAAUGCUAGCUUCGAGCUCUUCAGCCUGCAAAGCAUAUGAUCUGGUUCUUCUUCAUUACCCCAGAAGGGCUCAUGCUCUCCAUCGGAGCCUUCUUGGUCAUUAUUUGAAGGGGUACUUAAUUGAAGGAAAUAAUUUUCAAUCUCUUGCACAUAGUUCUCCCACUGAUCUGGAGAAUCAUUGGAUUGUGAAGACGAUGGCGAGCUUCGGAGAUUCUUCCAGUUGGUGGCAGCUUCUGCCAGCAUCUUGCCCAACCAGCCUCUAACGCUGCCCUUCUCUCUGGACUUGGAAAAAAUGACUGCUCCUUGAUCAUCCUCUAUCAACCCUUCAUUGUUUUCUUCCCUCAGGAAAACCAGUUUUCCCCCACGGACUAUGAACAACUCACAAAAAUCAGGGAGUUUUCCAACUGCAGAGGCAAAUUGAACUUUUAGUAUAUAUAUACCCAAAUAGAGAAUCUCCAAGAAGAUGAAGCAAAGAUUUGAAAUUGUAUCACAUACAAGGUGUGUAGACAUAAUCUCUGGAUGAGUUGUUAGCUGCAUGGAGAAUCACUAUGGAGAUUGGAUCAAAAGACCACUUUCUAAGUGCCCAUUCCAGAGUUGCGAAUCCAUCUUGUGGGUCGGAUCCGAUUACAACAUAGACCUUCUCUGGUGCCUGAGUCUCCAUUAAAGCCAAAGCUUGAAAACCUAGCUAGCUGCUCAGCAGUACUGUCAGAUGAAACACAAGAUGGAAGAUGAAUCUUGGCCUGCACCACCCAUCUGGGAUCAUGUCACAGAUCAGGUUCAGGUGAGGAAGAACAGAAAAGAAAUGAAAAAAAUUGCAAGUGUUUGAUGUGGGCUGAAUUUGUUGUCAAAAGGAACCUUAAUUGUCUGGCCUACAUGUUCGGCUUUUUCAAAAUUGUGGAUAAAACAGGACGGCCUGUCUUUGGGCUUGCUUGGUGGUGAUCCCAAAGGUGGCCGGCUCCUUGUUGCAUACUAGGUCCUCAUUUUGGAUGAUUUCAUAUAUGAAGUUUGAAUCCAGUGCAGGGUGUUUCCUUGAA